CCUACGGGGGGCUGCAGUGGGGAAUUUUGGACAAUGGGGGCAACCCUGAUCCAGCCAUGCCGCGUGAGUGAAGAAGGCCUUCGGGUUGUAAAGCUCUUUCGGCCGGGAAGAAAUCGCUCAAGCUAAUACCUUGGGUGGAUGACGGUACCGGAAGAAGAAGCACCGGCUAACUACGUGCCAGCAGCCGCGGUAAUACGUAGGGUGCGAGCGGUAAGCGGAAUUACUGGGCGUAAAGCGUGCGCAGGGGUCGUACAUCCCCGGGCUUAACCUGGCAACUGCGUUUGUGACUGUGGGGCGCGAGUGCGGCAGAGGGGGGUGGAAUUCCACGUGUAGCAGUGAAAUGCGUAGAGAUGUGGAGGAACACCGAUGGCGAAGGCAGCCCCCUGGGUCGACACUGACGCUCAUGCACGAAAGCGUGGGGAGCAAACAGGAUUAGAUACCCUAGUAGUC
rnacentral:rRNA from 1 species